rnacentral:rRNA from 1 species
GUCGAACGAGCGAGAGAGAGCUUGCUUUCUCGAGCGAGUGGCGAACGGGUGAGUAACGCGUGAGGAACCUGCCUCAAAGAGGGGGACAACAGUUGGAAACGACUGCUAAUACCGCAUAAGCCCACAGGUCGGCAUCGACCAGAGGGAAAAGGAGCAAUCCGCUUUGAGAUGGCCUCGCGUCCGAUUAGCUAGUUGGUGAGGUAACGGCCCACCAAGGCAACGAUCGGUAGCCGGACUGAGAGGUUGAACGGCCACAUUGGGACUGAGACACGGCCCAGACUCCUACGGGAGGCAGCAGUGGGGAAUAUUGCACAAUGGGGAGACCCUGAUGCAGCGACGCCGCGUGGAGGAAGAAGGUCUUCGGAUUGUAAACUCCUGUUGUUGAGGAAGAUAAUGACGGUACUCAACAAGGAAGUGACGGCUAACUACGUGCCAGCAGCCGCGGUAAAACGUAGGUCACAAGCGUUGUCCGGAAUUACUGGGUGUAAAGGGAGCGCAGGCGGGAAGACAAGUUGGAAGUGAAAUCUAUGGGCUCAACCCAUAAACUGCUUUCAAAACUGUUUUUCUUGAGUAGUGCAGAGGUAGGCGGAAUUCCCGGUGUAGCGGUGGAAUGCGUAGAUAUCGGGAGGAACACCAGUGGCGAAGGCGGCCUACUGGGCACCAACUGACGCUGAGGCUCGAAAGUGUGGGUAGCAAACAGGAUUAGAUACCCUGGUAGUCCACACCGUAAACGAUGAUUACUAGGUGUUGGAGGAUUGACCCCUUCAGUGCCGCAGUUAACACAAUAAGUAAUCCACCUGGGGAGUACGACCGCAAGGUUGCAAACUCAAAGGAAUUGACGGA